UACGUAGGUGGCAAGCGUUGUCCGGAAUUAUUGGGCGUAAAGAGCUCGUAGGCGGUUUGUCGCGUCUGCUGUGAAAUCCCGAGGCUCAACCUCGGGCCUGCAGUGGGUACGGGCAGACUUGAGUGGUGUAGGGGAGACUGGAAUUCCUGGUGUAGCGGUGGAAUGCGCAGAUAUCAGGAGGAACACCGAUGGCGAAGGCAGGUCUCUGGGCACUUACUGACGCUGAGGAGCGAAAGCGUGGGGAGCGAACAGG
rnacentral:rRNA from 1 species